GCUCAGUUGGUGAAACGCUCCAUUGGAAAUGGAGAAGUUCCUGGUUCGAUACCAGGACCAGGCG
rnacentral:tRNA from 1 species